AUCCAGCUGACGAGUUCCGAAUAGGACGAAGCGCGCGUCCUGAAU
rnacentral:hammerhead_ribozyme from 1 species